UCGCAGCACUCUGGAGAGUCUCAAAGAUGAGCGCCGAAGGUGUACCCCUGGAAAGAUCAGUCUGGCAACGACUGAACAUUUCAGGCUAUCUCUCAGGCAAAAGGACAGAGCAACCCAU
rnacentral:ncRNA from 1 species